AUGGCGCCUCGUCAGCCCCCGGCCGUAGCUUGGUACUCGUCUGCCCUGGACUCGCCGAACGUGUCGGAGGCGAGCCUUGCCCGGUUGCGCCGGAUGGCGACGGCGCGGGGCAUCAAUGGGGCAAAGGUGUUCAAGGCCGGCUCCGCCACCCCUGAGGGUCAAGGGAGCACCUUCUAUCCGUUCUUCGUAAGUGCCAUUGUUGCUGGCCUGGUGCCUCCCUUCUCCGAGUUCUUCUUCUCUGUCCUCCGCCAUUAUAAGCUACAGGCUCUGCAUCUCCACCCCAACUCCGUCCUUCUCCUGGCAAUCUUCGCCUAUUACUGCGAGGCUCACGUAGGGGUGCAGCCCUAA
rnacentral:rRNA from 1 species